rnacentral:rRNA from 1 species
GACGAACGCUGGCGGCGUGCCUAAUACCAGCAAGUAGGACGCAGUUGCGCACGGGUGAGUAACGCGUAGGUCACUGCCUCUUAGAGGGGGAUAACUCUUGGAAACGAUAGCUAAUACCGCAUACUAGUAGAUGGACCUGCGUUGUAUUGGCUAGUAGGUUGGGUAAUGGCCUACCUAGGCAACGAUACAUAGCCGACCUGAGAGGGUGAUCGGCAAAACUGGGACUGAGACACGGCCCAGACGCCUACGGGAGGCAGCAGGAGGGAAUCUUCGGCAAUGGGGGGAACCCUGACCGAGCAACGCCGCGUGAGGGAAGAAGGUUUUCGGAUCGUAAAGCUCUGUUGUUAAGGAAGCGGUACUUAACCAGAAAGGGACGGCUAACUACGUGCCAGCAGCCGCGGUAAUAC